rnacentral:rRNA from 1 species
UCCUGGCUCAGGAUGAACGCUAGCGGCAGGCUUAACACAUGCAAGUCGAGGGGCAGCAGGCUGUAGCAAUACGGUGCUGGCGACCGGCGCAAGGGUGCGUAACGCGUGAGCAACUUGCCCGCAACAGGAGGAUAACCGGAGGAAACUCCGACUAAUACUGCGUAGCAACAAAGUGUGGCAUCGCAUUUUGUUUAAAGACGAAAGUCGGUUGCGGAUAGGCUCGCGUGACAUUAGGUAGACGGCGGGUAACGGCCCACCGUGCCGACGAUGUCUAGGGGUUCUGAGAGGAAGGUCCCCACACUGGUACUGAGACACGGACCAGACUCCUACGGGAGGCAGCAGUGAGGAAUAUUGGACAAUGGUCGGAAGACUGAUCCAGCCAUGCCGCGUGAAGGAUAAGGUCCUAUGGAUUGUAAACUUCUUUGUACGAGAGGAAUAAGGGUGAUGCGUCAUCCGACGACAGUAUCGUACGAAUAAGCAUCGGCUAACUCCGUGCC